rnacentral:rRNA from 1 species
GAUUGAACGCUGGCGGUAUGCUUAACACAUGCAAGUCGAACGGAAACGAUACUAGCUUGCUAGUAGGCGUCGAGUGGCGGACGGGUGAGUAACGCGUAGGAAUCUGCCUGAUAGUGGGGGAUAGCCCGAAGAAAUUCGGAUUAAUACCGCAUAAUCUAUUCGUAGUAAAGUGGGGGACUUUCGAGCCUCACGCUAUCAGAUGAGCCUGCGUAAGAUUAGCUUGUUGGUAGGGUAAAAGCCUACCAAGGCGACGAUCUUUAGCUGGUCUGAGAGGAUGAUCAGCCACAUCGGGACUGAGACACGGCCCGAACUCCUACGGGAGGCAGCAGUGGGGAAUAUUGGACAAUGGGGGCAACCCUGAUCCAGCAAUACCGCGUGUGUGAAGAAGGCCUGAGGGUUGUAAAGCACUUUCAAUUGUGAAGAAAAGUUAGCGGUUAAUAACCGUUAGCCUUGACGUUAACUUUAGAAGAAGCACCGGCUAACUCCGUGCCAGCAGCCGCGGUAAUACGGAGGGUGCAAGCGUUAAUCGGAAUUACUGGGCGUAAAGCGUGCGUAGGCGGUUUAUUAAGUCAGAUGUGAAAGCCCCCGGGCUUAACCUGAGAACUGCAUUUGAAACUGGUCAACUAGAGUAUGGUAGAGGAAAGUGGAAUUUCUGGUGUAGCGGUGAAAUGCGUAGAUAUCAGAAGGAACAUCAAUGGCGAAGGCAGCUUUCUGGACCAAUACUGACGCUGAGGUACGAAAGCGUGGGUAGCAAACAGGAUUAGAUACCCUGGUAGUCCACGCCGUAAACGAUGAUAACUAGCCGUUGGGGGGAUUUACCCCUUAGUGGCGAAGCUAACGCGUUAAGUUAUCCGCCUGGGGAGUACGGCCGCAAGGUUAAAACUCAAAGGAAUUGACGGGGACCCGCACAAGCGGUGGAGCAUGUGGUUUAAUUCGAUGCAACGCGAAGAACCUUACCUGGUCUUGACAUCCUGCGAACUUUCUAGAAAUAGAUUGGUGCCUUCGGGAACGCAGUGACAGGUGCUGCAUGGCUGUCGUCAGCUCGUGUCGUGAGAUGUUGGGUUAAGUCCCGUAACGAGCGCAACCCCUAUCCUUAUUUGCCAGCACAUCAUGGUGGGAACUAUAAGGAGACUGCCGGUGAUAAACCGGAGGAAGGCGGGGACGACGUCAAGUCAUCAUGGCCCUUACGACCAGGGCUACACACGUGCUACAAUGGGAAGGACAAAGAGCCGCGAAGCCGCGAGGUGUAGCUAAUCUCAUAAACCUUUUCGUAGUCCGGAUUGGAGUCUGCAACUCGACUCCAUGAAGUCGGAAUCGCUAGUAAUCGUAGAUCAGAAUGCUACGGUGAAUACGUUCCCGGGUCUUGUACACACCGCCCGUCAAG